rnacentral:tRNA from 1 species
AGCGCCAUGGCUGAAUGGUGAGGCAGCAGAUUGCAACCCUGCUUCAUACGAGUUCGAAUCUCGUUGGCGCUUCCA